GGGGAAUAUUGCGCAAUGGGGGGAACCCUGACGCAGCGACGCCGCGUGAAGGAAGAAGGCCUUCGGGUUGUAAACUUCUUUGAUUGGGGAAGAAAAAUGACGGUACCCAAAGAACAAGCCACGGCUAACUACGUGCCAGCAGCCGCGGUAAUACGUAGGUGGCGAGCGUUAUCCGGAAUUACUGGGUGUAAAGGGCGUGUAGGCGGGGAUGCAAGUCAGAUGUGAAAUUCCGGGGCUCAACCUCGGCACUGCAUCUGAAACUGUGUCUCUUGAGUGCUGGAGAGGAAAGUGGAAUUCCUAGUGUAGCGGUGAAAUGCGUAGAGAUUAGGAGGAACACCAGUGGCGAAGGCGGCUUCCUGGCCCGCGACUGACGCUCAUGUGCGAAAGCCAGGGGAGCGAACC
rnacentral:rRNA from 1 species